UACGGGAUAAUAUAUUUGAGAGGCAUCUCUUAAAUAUCAAAGGUGAGCCAGUACAGGAUGGACCCGCGUCUGAUUAGCUAGUUGGUAAGGUAACGGCUUACCAAGGCGACGAUCAGUAGCCGACCUGAGAGGGUGAUCGGCAACAUUGGAACUGAGACACGGUCCAAACUCCUACGGGAGGCAGCAGUGGGGAAUAUUGCACAAUGGGCGAAAGCCUGAUGCAGCAACGCCGCGUGAGUGAUGAAGGCCUUCGGGUCGUAAAACUCUGUCCUCAAGGAAGAUAAUG
rnacentral:rRNA from 1 species